AAGGAAGAAUCCGAAAAUCCUUUAACAGAGUAGGAA
rnacentral:ncRNA from 1 species